CAUGGCAAGUCCUGUGCUGCGCCACUUCGGCUUUUUCCUCCCCCGCUAUCCUUGGCUAGGCUGGGAAGGGUCAUGUACCAUCUGCCAAGUGCCAAUGAAAACCCUGUACUAGUCCAAACUGGUUCAUGGUUUGAGUACUGUCUUGUACAUUUGAAUGCAAGUAAAACUGUCCUAAUGGUCUUGAAGUUCACAAUCAGGAUUCACAAUUCAAAUAUGGUUUUGCCUCAAUUCAGAUGAAUGAGAUUCUUUCCUUUUAAGGUGGGCCAACUGUCAACUCUACAAUGAGCCUGGCUGCAGCCAUCUUUCUCUUCAUUCUAUGUUCAUAGAACGGAGGGAGGGGGGCUUGCCCAGGUGCUUCACUGGUCAAAAUAAUCUUCUGUCCUGUGGGAACCAAGGUCAUCUACUGCUCUUGUGAUCAGGGACUGGGCGUUGUAUAAGAAAGACUGCCAAAUGAAUGUAUUGGGGAA